CCUACGGGAGGCAGCAGUGGGGAAUAUUGCACAAUGGGGGAAACCCUGAUGCAGCAACGCCGCGUGAAGGAAGACGGUUUUCGGAUUGUAAACUUCUGUUCUUAGUGAAGAAUAAUGACGGUAGCUAAGGAGCAAGCCACGGCUAACUACGGGCCAGCAGCCGCGGUAAUACGGAGGUGGCAAGCGUUGUCCGGAAUUACUGGGUGUAAAGGGAGCGCAGGCGGGAAGCCAAGUCAGCUGUGAAAACUACGGGCUUAACUUGUAGACUGCAGUUGAAACUGGUUGUCUUGAGUGAAGUAGAGGUAGGCGGAAUGCGGGGUGUAGCGGUGAAAUGCGUAGAUAUUCGGCGGAACACCGGUGGCGAAGGCGGCCAACUGGGCUGUAACUGACGCUGAGGCUCGAAAGUGUGGGGAGCGAACAGGAUUAGAUACCCCAGUAGUC
rnacentral:rRNA from 1 species